rnacentral:tmRNA from 1 species
GGGGGCGACCAGGUAUCGACUGGGUAAUGUUGUGGUAGAAGUGGCGUUCCGAGGGUUCAGGUGGCCUCGUUAAAACCUGAAUAUAAAUAAUUUUAAGUGCGGAAGCACCUGUAAGAAUGGCUGCCUAAUUUUCAGCCACGUCACUGUUCCUAAUCUUGCGGGGGGCAAGUCGACGCUAAUAGCAAGAUAGCUUAAGUAAAGUGCCUUGGUAUACUUUCGCGAAUGACACAGGGCUAGCAUAAAAACGGUCUGUUUAUAAGCCAUUUCUAUGCGAAAAACAAUUUAUAAACUAUGAUCGUAGAGGCUUUUAUCAGGCUACUACAGGACGCGGGUUCGAUUCCCGCCGCCUCCACCA